GCGAAUGCGCCACUGUGCUUUACACUUGUGGAGUCGGUGCGCGGUGUCGGUCCGAGGGACUGAAUUUCGGUGAAUUUGAUAGCAAUUGAUUUGAAUUUUGCUCAGAUGGGUUGUGAAUUUAUAUUCAGCAAGUGUCACAAACAUGGAAAGGCAAGUUUACAAAGGACAGGAGACUUAGAAAGGCUUCAAUUGACGUAGCCGAAGAGAGGCGAGAAGCCGAAGAUAGACCGACUCCAAACGGUGCCCAGUGCAAUCAUGCUUCUGGUGCGGAGUUGUCAGGAUGGAGUCCGAGGAAUCAAGGAAGGCAGAGGACCUGCGUAUGAAGGAACCAGCCCUGUGGAUGAAGAUCUGAGGUGCAUACAGAGGGAUCCCACUGAAAGACCAGGUGCAAUGCUGCAUUGAUAAGAUCCAGAUUCAAGAGCAUGGAUGCUACCAGAUCCUGUGAUUUGAAGUUACCUACCAGUGUCACUGCUGCUACAAAUGACAUCAGCAACACUUCCUUCGGUGAAAGUUUAGAGGAGCAAACAGUUGGUACUCUGUGUAGUCAAGCAGUGGAGUUUUGCCACAAUCAUGAAGUUGAUUAAGGUGUCAAUUUUGUUUUGCUCUGGCUUCUGGGACACCUCGGAUCUACAUUGCAACCUAUGCUAGUGUUCAACAUUUCGUGUCGUAGUAUCACUGAUGCAAAGCGUGUUGCAUCAUACACAAAUGAGAGCCAGCAAAUUGGCAGAUAUUUUCUAGUGAUAGAGAACUGCAUAGGUGAUAAGUGGUGAAUGGUAGGGCUCAGCCACUCAGCUGCUUCCUUCAAAAGCUAUCAAUCAGCUCUAGAAGAGCUGUCGUCAUAGCAAUGCUUCAUAUGUGAAGGAUACUUGCCUGAACAGAACAUUGUGGAUUUGUUAAUUAAGUACCUCUUUAUUACAAGUUUGUGCCCAUUACAAGCCAAGCUUAGUUUACUUAGUUCGUUGCAAGUUUUCCAGGCAGCCUUCACACUUGUGUCGCUGAAUAUUAAACUUUGACUGAUAGACCGACGAGAUAUUGUCCCUUUCGCAUCAGAUUGUAAUCAGUCAGUCGUGUUGGUAGAAGGUACAGUCUGCCUUUAAAGUACCGCGCAAAGUGACGGUGGAUCCAUCAAGCCUGACCGAGGAAGGGCCUGCUAUUAUAAUUUGAAAGUCACCGAACCAAUUGACCUGGGGAACGGACGAGGAUGUCAUAUAGAGCCACGCAGAAAUCGCCGGUGAUUCGUUGCCCAUCAUUACAGAAUGAACGCAUGCCGGAUGAAGGGUUAAGUCAAUAAUCUGUACAAACUACAGGGAUGUGAUUGACUUAUCUGACAGUGACGAGCGCUAGAGGUCAACUUAAGACCGUAGGUAUGCGUUCUUGUCAUGGAAUGUGUGCUGUAAAUCGAUUGUUUCAUGCGUGUGAAUAUAUGUCUGAAUGUAA